AUUGAACGCUGGCGGCAUGCUUUACACAUGCAAGUCGAACGGUAACAGGGUGCUUGCACCGCUGACGAGUGGCGAACGGGUGAGUAAUGCGUCGGAACGUGCCGAGUAGUGGGGGAUAACGCAGCGAAAGUUGUGCUAAUACCGCAUACGUACUGAGGUAGAAAGUGGGGGACCUUCGGGCCUCACGCUAUUCGAGCGGCCGACGUCUGAUUAGCUAGUAGGUGAGGUAAAGGCUCACCUAGGCGACGAUCAGUAGCGGGUCUGAGAGGAUGAUCCGCCAAGCUGGGACUGAGACACGGCCCAGACUCCUACGGGAGGCAGCAGUGGGGAAUUUUGGACAAUGGGCGAAAGCCUGAUUCAGCCAUGCCGCGUGUCUGAAGAAGGCCUUCGGGUUGUAAAGGACUUUUGUCAGGGAGGAAAUCCCUAGUGCUAAUAACACUGGGGGAUGACAGUACCUGAAGAAUAAGCACCGGCUAACUACGUGCCAGCCGCCGCCGUAA
rnacentral:rRNA from 1 species